rnacentral:sRNA from 2 species
AUCCCCCAAACCAAGGGGGGGAUGAGAACCACCGACCGGGGUUCGACAACUGGCGCAGCCAGUUGGACAGACGACGAGCCUGCGAGGAGACUGCCCGAAGGGCGAGCGCAGCGAGUCAAUCCCCCCCCCUCACCG